UAAAAAAAAAGGGGGUGUAAAUAACAUAUAACAUUAUAAUGAGAGAAUAAACCUGCUACUGCGUACACUUAAUUACUUACUUACUUACUUAUAAUUUCUUACUACAAAUUAUUUUUUUUUAUUUUUAUUUUUUUUUUUA
rnacentral:ribozyme from 1 species